CCUACGGGAGGCAGCAGUAAGGAAUAUUGGUCAAUGGACGCAAGUCUGAACCAGCCAUGCCGCGUGAAGGAUUAAGGCCCUCUGGGUUGUAAACUUCUUUUAUAGGGGACGAAAAAAGGGCAUUCUUGCUCACUUGACGGUACCCUAGGAAUAAGCACCGGCUAACUCCGUGCCAGCAGCCGCGGUAAUACGGAGGGUGCAAGCGUUAUCCGGAUUUACUGGGUUUAAAGGGUGCGUAGGUGGGUUGGUAAGUCAGUGGUGAAAUCUUCGAGCUUAACUCGGAAACUGCCAUUGAUACUAUCAAUCUUGAAUCAUCUAGAGGUAAGCGGAAUAUGUCAUGUAGCGGUGAAAUGCUUAGAUAUGACAUAGAACACCAAUUGCGAAGGCAGCUUACUAUGGAUGCAUUGACACUGAGGCACGAAAGCGUGGGGAUCAAACAGGAUUAGAUACCCUGGUAGUCCACGCCCUAAACGAUGGAUACUCGACAUUUGUGAUAUACAAUAAGUGUNUGNGNGAGANAUAAGUAUCCACCGNGGUAAGUACGACGCGAGUAGUUAAGUUAAUAGAGUUGNGCGNGAGAGNGCCGACGGACGACGACGAGGGAGGAGG
rnacentral:rRNA from 1 species